UACGAAGGGGGCUAGCGUUGCUCGGAAUCACUGGGCGUAAAGCGCACGUAGGCGGCUUUUUAAGUCAGGGGUGAAAUCCUGGAGCUCAACUCCAGAACUGCCUUUGAUACUGAGAGCUUGAGUCCGGGAGAGGUGAGUGGAACUCCGAGUGUAGAGGUGAAAUUCGUAGAUAUUCGGAAGAAACACCAGUGGCGAAGGCGGCUCACUGGCCCGGUACUGACGCUGAGGUGCGAAAGCGUGGGGAGCAAACAGG
rnacentral:rRNA from 1 species